CAGCCGCCACAGUAAUACAGAGGGUGCAAGCGUUAAUCGGAUUUACUGGGCGUAAAGGGCGCGUAGGUGGUUAUGUAAGUGAGAUGUGAAAUCCCCGGGCUCAACCUGGGAACUGCAUCUUAUACUGCGUAGCUGGAGUGCAGUAGAGGGUAGUGGAAUUUCCGGUGUAGCGGUGAAAUGCGUAGAUAUCGGAAGGAACACCAGUGGCGAAGGCGGCUACCUGGACUGACACUGACACUGAGGCGCGAAAGCGUGGGGAGCAAACAGGAUUAGAUACCCGCGUAGUCCCUGUCUCUUAUAC
rnacentral:rRNA from 1 species